rnacentral:rRNA from 1 species
ACUACGGGAGGCAGCAGUGGGGGAUAUUGCACAAUGGGGGGAACCCUGAUGCAGCGACGCCGCGUGGGUGAAGGAGUGCUUCGGCAUGUAAAGCCCUAUCGGCAGGGAAGAAGCAAGACGGUACCUGACUAAGAAGCCCCGGCUAACUACGUGCCAGCAGCCGCGGUAAUACGUAGGGGGCGGGCGUUAUCCGGAUUCACUGGGGGUAAAGGGAGCGUAGACGGCCAUGCAAGCCAGGGGUGAAAGCCCGGGGCCCCACCCCGGGACUGCCCUUGGAACUGCAUGGCUGGAGUGCGGGCGGGGCAGGCGGAAUUCCUGGUGGAGCGGUGAAAUGCGUAGAUAUCAGGAGGAACACCGGCGGCGAAGGCGGUCUGCUGGACCGCGACUGACGUUGAGGCUCGAAAGCGUGGGGAGCGAACAGGAUUAGAUACCCCAGUAGUC